rnacentral:rRNA from 1 species
AUUGAACGCUGGCGGCAUGCUUUACACAUGCAAGUCGAACGGUAACAGGCCGCAAGGUGCUGACGAGUGGCGAACGGGUGAGUAAUGCAUCGGAACGUGCCCAGUCGUGGGGGAUAACUACUCGAAAGAGUAGCUAAUACCGCAUACGAUCUAUGGAUGAAAGCGGGGGACCGUAAGGCCUCGCGCGAUUGGAGCGGCCGAUGUCAGAUUAGGUAGUUGGUGGGGUAAAGGCUCACCAAGCCAACGAUCUGUAGCUGGUCUGAGAGGACGACUAGCCACACUGGGACUGAGACACGGCCCAGACUCCUACGGGAGGCAGCAGUGGGGAAUUUUGGACAAUGGGCGCAAGCCUGAUCCAGCAAUGCCACGUGCAGGAAGAAGGCAUUCGGGUUGUAAACUGCUUUUGUACGGAACGAAACGGCUCUGGUUAAUACCCGGGGCUAAUGACGGUACCGUAAGAAUAAGCACCGGCUAACUACGUG